AUUCUCGUAUCCCUUGGACUCCCCGAUCCUUGUAUUCUAUCUGCUGCCUUCUAAAGUCUUUUGAGAUGUAGCCUCUCCUACAGCCCUGUGGCACAGCGAUGCCCAUCAGUGCUGUGGCAUUGCAUUACGCUCAUCCUUAGAGUGUUCUCGACCUACAGGGGCAUGGCCAUUCCCAUUUGCAAAGUGAUGCCCCGACACCCAGAGGGGAGGGCGAAUGGGAGGAAAGAAGCAAGGAAGAAAUUUCUGCUGGAGAGCCCCUGCAAGCCAGGCCCUUUGUCUCAUGGAAGCCACACGAGGGAGGCACGAACCCCACUUUACAGAGCAGGGAACCGAGGCUCUGAGGCGAACUCAGACUUGCUUUAGGUAAUGGGGAGGGGAAAGGAGGGACACAUUGAUGAAGCAUCCACUGUGGGCUAGGUGCGUUCACAUACAUGCCCUAUUUUGCCGUCGGACACACGCAGAAUAACACUCAAAGGGAGGUAUUUUUCUUCCUGUUUUCCAGAUGUGCAAAGCAACACUCGGAGAGCUGGGGUGGCUUAUCCCAGCAGGAGCGGCGCUGGAACCAGGCUUCCCUGGCCGGGAUAGAGCCCUGUCACCCACCCCCGACAGUCCUCAGGGCUCAGCACGCAUCCUUUCGGGGAGUGGAAAAGGAAACACUGGGCCCUUUUACAGGGUUUCCGUGUGCAUGACGGGGAGCCCCUGAGGAUGGCAGACCUGCCACGGAUGGGAGGAACGGUUUAUUUUCUCUGCGUGCCGCUCUGAAGCCUUUCAAAGGUGUGAAGUUCCGUGGCCUGCAAAGGCCCGCUCCGCUGGCUGCCCAGAGCGGGCCCUGCCCGGGCCCCAGCCCCCGCAGGCCCCAGCCUCUUCAUGUGCCGCCACGGGAACUCCCUCCGGCCCACCUGGCCCCUCACUCGCUGAAAAGCUGCAGAGUGACAGGCCAGAAACCCGACUCCCGUGUUUAUUCACCAAACACAGAGCCGGCCCUCUGGGCUCUCCUCCGCCAUCCAGACCCUCCGCUACCUCUGGGGAAGAGGGCUUUCCAGCCCACUCCUAGGCUCAGCAAACCUGGCACACUCACCUCCAGAGAAUGGCCACAAGGAGGAGCAUCCAAGCUGGCCCUGCAGCAAGAGAGAGUCUGGUUAGACACAAGGAAGAACUUCCUGCCCCUGAGGGGACAUUCGGCUCAGAAAAGAAGGGACCCUCUCGAAGAACUGAGCUCUGUUGGGCUCCCAUGACAAUCAUUUCAAGCAGCUAAUGAGUUUCAGAUGGCCUUCAGGAGCCUGGGACGGAUGGAAGCUGGGGGGUAAGGAUUCUUAGGCCGAGUUUCGUGGGCAGGGGGGAGGGGUGGGGGCGGGGGUCAGAAAGAAAAUCUUUUGUAGCUGAAGUGCUAUGGGCCCCUGGCCCUCCCAUCCAGGCCUGGAGUCAGAACCUAGAAGGGAGCCCGUGGUCACUCCACCAUCCUCUGUCUCUAACUCAUCGCUCACUGCCUCAAACUUGGAUGGUAUAAAGACCCAGAAGCAUUAUGUGAAAGCAUCAGGGCCUUCCUAAGGCCAAGAUGUCAUUACUCACCUAAUAGAAGCACCUCUGCCAUCAACAGAAAUAAUCCUUGUCAGAAUCCACGUCUUCUGUGACGGUGGUUGUCCAGAUGCACGGCGGGAGGGGGGGGGGGGGGUCGUGAAGCCCGGAGGCUCACUCUGGUGCCGUCUGACCCGGGGUGGGGCUGGCUGUGGGGGACGCCACCCCGGGCCCACUGGCACCGCAUAGGGGCACCUCGGCCCGCCUGCAGCUUCUUCCUAGCACGGCUCUCUCCCUUUGGGGUGCUCCUGUCCCCGCGGUUGGCCUGGCCUGGGACCCCUCAGGGGCCCACUGUGACCCCAAGGGGCUUUUU
ensembl:lncRNA